UUUUUAAAUGUAAUUUUGGAUUGUAAUUAGCAUUCAAUGCAAGAAGCCACAAAUUCUUCCACAUCUUUGUAGAGGCUCUUCUACCAAUAUCACUCUUUGAUCUAAAGAUAGGUAGUCCAAUCUUCUUUGUGGCUUAUCCAAAGUAUAUUAUGAAACUACUUAAGAACUUAGUUCUUAGUUUCUACAUCAUUCACCACUCUCAA
rnacentral:lncRNA from 1 species